rnacentral:rRNA from 1 species
UCGUACGACGAGUUUGAUCAUGGCUCAGAACGAACGCUGGCGGCAGGCCUAACACAUGCAAGUCGAGCGAGGUAGCAAUACCUAGCGGCGGACGGGUGAGUAACGCGUGGGAACGUACCCUUUGCUACGGAAUAGCCCCGGGAAACUGGGAGUAAUACCGUAUGUGCCCUUCGGGGGAAAGAUUUAUCGGCAAAGGAUCGGCCCGCGUUGGAUUAGGUAGUUGGUGGGGUAAUGGCCUACCAAGCCGACGAUCCAUAGCUGGUUUGAGAGGAUGAUCAGCCACACUGGGACUGAGACACGGCCCAGACUCCUACGGGAGGCAGCAGUGGGGAAUCUUAGACAAUGGGCGCAAGCCUGAUCUAGCCAUGCCGCGUGAGUGAUGAAGGCCUUAGGGUUGUAAAGCUCUUUCAGAUGGGAAGAUAAUGACGGUACCAUCAGAAGAAGCCCCGGCUAACUCCGUG